UACAGAGGUCUCAAGCGUUGUUCGGAUUCAUUGGGCGUAAAGGGUGCGUAGGUGGCGCGCUAAGUCAGGUGUGAAAUCUCGGAGCUUAACUCCGAAACUGCAUUUGAUACUGGUGUGCUUGAGGACUGGAGAGGAGACUGGAAUUCACGGUGUAGCAGUGAAAUGCGUAGAUAUCGUGAGGAAGACCAGUGGCGAAGGCGGGUCUCUGGACAGUUCCUGACACUGAGGCACGAAGGCCAGGGGAGCAAACGGG
rnacentral:rRNA from 1 species